GAUGAACGCUGGCGGCGUGCCUAAUACAUGCAAGUCGAACGGACGGACGAGAAGCUUGCUUCUCUGAUGUUAGCGGCGGACGGGUGAGUAACACGUGGAUAACCUACCUAUAAGACUGGUAUAACUUCGGGAAACCGGAUCUAAUCCCGGAUAAUAUUUUGAACCACAUGGUUCAAAAGUGAAAGACGGUCUUGCUGUCACGUCUAGCUGGAUCUGCGCUGCAUUAGCUAGUUGGUAAGGUAACGGCUUACCAAGGCAACGAUGCAUAGCCGACCUGAGAGGGUGAUCGGCCACACUGGAACUGAAACACGGACCAGACUCCUAAGGGAGGGAGCAGAAGGGAAUCUUACGCAAUGGGCGAAAGCCUGACGGAGCAACGCCGCGUGAGUGAUGAAGACGUUCGGAGCGGAAAACUGUGUUAUUAGGGAAGAACAUAUGUGUAAGUAACUGUGCAGAUCGUGACGGUACCUAAUCAGAAAGCCACGGCUAACUACGUG
rnacentral:rRNA from 1 species